rnacentral:misc_RNA from 1 species
CUUAAAUCAUAUUUCUGGUAAGUGUCAAAACACAAAUAGGUGUUUAAAUUCAACACAAAAAAAACCCACAAAUAUGCAUUUGUGUGUGGAUGAGAAGGGAUUUAACAAUUUCAUAUAUUACAUAGUUGGCAGAAGUACAAAAGGUAGCAUAGAGAUAAAGCUAAACCACCUCUUACUAAAAGAACACUAAGCCACUUGUACACAACCCCUGCUUAAAAUCUUCACAAGCAAGGGAAAAGGGAACAAAAAGGGAAAAAGAAAAGGAAAGUACACACCACUUCCCCUAUCAUCAUCCAAACUAAACAAUUUGAUGAGCUUGCUAAACUCGCUGCUCAUGCAGGCACAGUACUUUGCAGGUGCAACAUUGUGCAUUAAAAAUGACAAUGUACAAAAUAUUUUGAGGCGCUCCCCACAGUCACUGCUCAUGCAGAGAACAGAAUGCUUUGCAGAUGCAACAUUGUGCAUUAAAAAUGACAAUGUACAAAAUAUUUUGAGGCGCUCCCCACAGUCACUGCUCAUGCAGAGAACAGAAUGCUUUGCAGAUGCAACAUUGUGCAUUAAAAAUGACAAAGCUACACCUAGCAGAGCUCUUCUGAUCUUGCCUCAAGUUGAUUCUGUUCCGCAAUACAAUAACAAGCAUGCCUGAAAAAAGCAAGAAAUGAAAGCCAGCAAAUAAUAUAACACUUACCCAAACUGCUGGCUUUCUCUCUUAUUGGCAGCUAUGUGGACAGAAAAAGCUUCCAAUUCAUCUGAUUUCUGCUAUCUCACGCUAUUGAUGUUAAGCUUAACCUGCUACUAAAAUAACCAGAAAACAACCAAAAGAGCAGUAUAAAGAAAAAAAUUGUACAAGGAGUACCAGCAAAUCCACUUGGAAUUUCAAAACACAUGCCUUAGAACUGGUUUCUGCACAGCUUCCUCCUCAACUCCACCCACAGUUUUUAGCAACAUCCCAACAGCAGCAUUCGGCUCUAACUCUUCCCGCAAUCCAUCUUGAAAAACUCCACUGCCAUCUGCACACACAUUUUCCAAAUGACACAUUGAAUCUGCAUCACCAGAAUCACUUCGAGAGUAUCCCAGGUUAUUACUUCCUUCAACACUCCCAUCAGCGCUUCCAUUGUUCCCCUCAUUGCUGCCUGCUAUUGAUUCAUUUCCAUUAUCCUCACUUGAGCCAACCUCGCUUGAAAGGGAGGUGAUUACACUGGAAUUUGAUGUAAACCCCCCCUCAACAUCAUCAGAGCAAAAUCUCUUUUCAUCAAUUUGACACAUUUCAUUCCCUUCAGCAAAUGCCAAGCAUGUAGGAGAUGUGCCACCAAACUUGUGACUGAUAAUAUCAGGAGAAAAAGAAUCCCGCCUCAGAGGACUAAUUGAACAUCGUUUCUCUAGCAUAUCAUUUUUCACAUCCACUUCAUCAGGAUCCUUUUUCCUCUUAACGCCUCUCUCUCCAGAGCCAGUGCGACAAGCACCACCAUCUUCAUAGCAUGAUUUAUCAGACUGUUGCUGUGCUGUGACCCUAGGAUGUCGAGGACGUCUAUAACCAUCUGGAAAAACAUAUGAAGGGAUCUGCUUCCUACGCACAUGAGAGACAUAAAUUUCCAUUCCUGGUUUCCAAAACACAUACAUGUUUAUGGAAUGCCUAAAUUCAUCUACUGUCCCUCGGAUAUCAAACUGCUGCCCUUCCUGAAUUAUCUCCCCCUGUUUCCUCUGCAGGCCCAAAAAAAAAGCACAAUGGGCACAUGGUUUGGAGGCAUCCACGUACUCAUGAGGGUAUGGAUGACACUGCAACUUCCCGUAAGUGUCUCGCUCAAUCAUAAGAGUCAACUGCCUUAACCGGGAUUCCACCCAGCCUUUCCAAGAUCGCAAGUCAUCAACAUCUGCCGCGACUAUGUCAACCUGCAGGUAGUUUUUGUAGCUUUCAAAGAACAAGUGUGGCUCAAACAGAGUACUCCAUUGGGCUUUAUUCAGCUCUAUAUCCUCACAGAUCUUGUUACCAUACUGGAACUGCUCCAUCAUGACCCGUAGUGUACUCGUUGAUACAUUGUAGCUAGAAUUCAUGCAUGGAUAGGCAGGUGUUAUUAUUGGCAUAUGAUGAGUUCGGUCACGUGGAUUCUUACGGGGAUCCCAAACAGAAAAUCCAAGUUCAUCCUCUUCAAUUGGGCACAGCAUAACAGGGUUUGGCCAGCGCCACUGUGUAUAGACCCUAAAAAAUCUAGAAACAAGCAUACUAGGAAUUGCUUUAGGAUAAAGUUGGCACACUCGAGCAACAAGGAGAGCCCAGUUUACGCCACCAAGAAACCCGGUCACGUUGGAAUAAACACCACGUCUUUUAGCCCACAACUUCAAACACCGGAGUGUUGUGCAAAAAUGCUCAACAUUGGGAACAAGCUUAAGAAUUUGAUCAGCAACCCUGCAGCCAUUGAGACUUCGAACAGUAGGCUCGUCAACAUCAUAUAGAACAGAAACGUUCGAGAUGUCUAAGUCAUCUGGUACUACCAACAGAGAAAUACUUGCAUAAAGAAGAUCGAUUGAUAUUCCAUCAAACUUGAAUUUCAUCACAGGGACAUGAGCAUCAGGAACCGGUUGCAGCUCUGAAACUUCUUCCAUUUCUGACAAAAUGUUGUGCAAUACAAAGAAGAAGUCCUCCUCCCUAUUGACAUAAGAUGGCCCAACACAUAAUGUGUCAAUGUCAGCCCCAGGACCAUGUACCUGCCAACUCUUAAAUUUUAAGCAGGAUCUCAUUGACAACAAAAAAGCAUAUUGCACCAGAAAAGCAAUUAGCAGCAGGUCAAAAGACAGAAGUGCCUAGAACACUAGUAAUUAGCAUACAUAGGAUAAAAUAGCUUUUCCAAAUCCCAAUGAGAUGAUGUUGCCAACAUUGAAAGCAUUUAUCCACAACAAAAUAAGAGAAGCCCUACUAGACAACAAAAAAAGUCUAAACAUACGCCAAGCCGAUAAGAGCCAAAUGUGAAAAUGACAGCAUUGGCCUCCUCCACCAUUUGAUCUGUGUACCCUCUCAAGCGAGUAAGCUGCUUCACCCAAUCUUUUACAAUCUGCCCAAUCCGAUCCAGAACCCUCUCCCUCUUUGCGGCUUCCUCUUUGCUCUCAUAAAGGCCAGCAUCACUCAAGAACUUCUCCAAUUCACGGCUUCUUUGUAUAUCAGCUUCAGUUGGCCCCGACAUCGAUAUCGGUUUCGUUACGCCAUACUGCUUCGGCGGCGGAGAAGAACACAAUCCCUCCGAACUCAACAUCUCGGCACCCAAAUAGAACAAAACACCUAAAAAAACCCCUAAAUCAUUCGAAAAAAGACAAAUUUUGAUAAUGGAUUCAAUUACUCCACGAUGAAGCCUAGAACUAAACGAAAAAUCCCAAACCCGAAACCCUAAUUGCAAUAAAGCACAAUGAAAUAAAUAAAAUAAUAAAUAAUUGCAAACCCUAUAAAAAAAUAAUAAUAAUAAACAAAGACCCAGAGAAAGAAAACGCGCGAACAGAGACCUCAAGAACGACGAUAAGGGCGACUGGGUGGUGAGUUCGGAGAGACUGCUACAGGGGUUGGAGAGAAAGAGAAGAGUUGAAUUUUUUCGCGGAUGUUUUAAUCGGGUACAAGCG